rnacentral:rRNA from 1 species
ACUCCUACGGGAGGCAGCAGUGGGGAAUUUUGGACAAUGGGCGAAAGCCUGAUCCAGCAAUGCCGCGUGAGUGAAGAAGGCCUUCGGGUUGUAAAGCUCUUUUGUCAGGGAAGAAACGGUGAAAGCUAAUAUCUUUUGCUAAUGACGGUACCUGAAGAAUAAGCACCGGCUAACUACGUGCCAGCAGCCGCGGUAAUACGUAGGGUGCAAGCGUUAAUCGGAAUUACUGGGCGUAAAGCGUGCGCAGGCGGUUUUGUAAGUCUGAUGUGAAAUCCCCGGGCUCAACCUGGGAAUUGCAUUGGAGACUGCAAGGCUAGAAUCUGGCAGAGGGGGGUAGAAUUCCACGUGUAGCAGUGAAAUGCGUAGAUAUGUGGAGGAACACCGAUGGCGAAGGCAGCCCCCUGGGUCAAGAUUGACGCUCAUGCACGAAAGCGUGGGGAGCAAACAGGAUUAGAAACCCGGGUAGUCCC